UGGGGAAUAUUGCACAAUGGGCGCAAGCCUGAUGCAGCCAUGCCGCGUGUGUGAAGAAGGUCUUCGGAUUGUAAAGCACUUUAAGUUGGGAGGAAGGGCAUUAACCUAAUACGUUAGUGUUUUGACGUUACCGACAGAAUAAGCACCGGCUAACUCUGUGCCAGCAGCCGCGGUAAUACAGAGGGUGCAAGCGUUAAUCGGAAUUACUGGGCGUAAAGCGCGCGUAGGUGGUUUGUUAAGUUGGAUGUGAAAUCCCCGGGCUCAACCUGGGAACUGCAUUCAAAACUGACUGACUAGAGUAUGGUAGAGGGUGGUGGAAUUUCCUGUGUAGCGGUGAAAUGCGUAGAUAUAGGAAGGAACACCAGUGGCGAAGGCGACCACCUGGACUAAUACUGACACUGAGGUGCGAAAGCGUGGGGAGCAAACA
rnacentral:rRNA from 1 species